rnacentral:rRNA from 1 species
GACGAACGCUGGCGGCGUGCUUAACACAUGCAAGUCGAACGGAAAGGCCCCUUUGGGGGUACUCGAGUGGCGAACGGGUGAGUAACACGUGAGUAACCUGCCCUUGACUUCGGGAUAACUUCAGGAAACUGGGGCUAAUACCGGAUAGGAAUCCUUGCUGCAUGGUGGGGGUUGGAAAGCUUCGGCGGUUUUGGAUGGACUCGCGGCUUAUCAGCUUGUUGGUGGGGUAGUGGCUUACCAAGGCUUUGACGGGUAGCCGGCCUGAGAGGGCGACCGGCCACAUUGGGACUGAGAGACGGCCCAGACGCCUACGGGAGGCAGCAGUGGGGAAUAUUGCACAAUGGGCGGAAGCCGGAUGCAGCAACGCCGCGUGCGGGAGGACGGCCUUCGGGUUGUAAACCGCUUUCAGCAGGGGCGAAGCUUGUGGUGACGGUACCUGCAGAAGAAGCACCGGCUAACUACGUG